rnacentral:rRNA from 1 species
UACGUAGGGGGCAAGCGUUGUCCGGAUUCAUUGGGCGUAAAGAGCGUGUAGGCGGCCAGGUAGGUCGGUUGUGAAAACUGGAGGCUCAACCUUCAGACGUCGACCGAAACCAUCUGGCUAGAGUCCGGGAGAGGAGAGUGGAAUUCCUGGUGUAGCGGUGAAAUGCGCAGAUAUCAGGAAGAACACCAACGGCGAAGGCAGCUCGCUGGGACGGUACUGACGCUGAGGCGCGAAAGCGUGGGGAGCGAACAGG